GACGAACGCUGGCGGCGUGCCUAACACAUGCAAGUCGAACGGCGAUGCAGCAGCUGCCUGGAGUGAAUGAGGGGCACACGGGUGAGUAACACGUGUACAACCUGCCCAAAACUCUGGAAUAAGCGCUGGAAACGGCCUCUAAUCCUAGAUACGAAACUGGCUCCGGUUGACAGCGUUUGGAAAGCUUUUCGGUCUGGGUUGGGCGCGCGGCCUAUCAGCUUGUUGGUGAGGUAAUGGCUCGCCGAGGCGACACCGGGUAGCCGGCCUGAGAGGGCGAGCGGCGACACUGGGACUGAGAGACGGCGCAGACGCGUACGGGAGGCAGCAGUGGGGAAUAUUGCACAAUGAGCGCGCGCGUGAUACGGCGACCCCGGGGGUGGGAAGACGUUUUGCGGGUUGUAAACCUCUGGCGGUAAAGAAGCAGCGGAAGUGACGGUACCUGCAGAAGAAGCACCGGCUAACUACGUG
rnacentral:rRNA from 1 species